rnacentral:tRNA from 1 species
GCAUUGGUGGUUCAGUGGUAGAAUUCUAGCUUGCAAUGUUGGAGGCCUGGGUUCGAUUCCCAGCCAAUGCA